AGUGAACGCUGGCGGUAGGCCUAACACAUGCAAGUCGAACGGCAGCACAGUAAGAGCUCGCUCUUACGGGUGGCGAGUGGCGGACGGGUGAGGAAUACAUCGGAAUCUACUUUUUCGUGGGGGAUAACGUAGGGAAACUUACGCUAAUACCGCAUACGACCUACGGGUGAAAGCAGGGGAUCUUCGGACCUUGCGCGAUUGAAUGAGCCGAUGUCGGAUUAGCUAGUUGGCGGGGUAAAGGCCCACCAAGGCGACGAUCCGUAGCUGGUCUGAGAGGAUGAUCAGCCACACUGGAACUGGUACGCGGUACAGACUCCUACGGGAGGCAGCAGUGGGGAAUAUUGGACAAUGGGCGCAAGCCUGAUCCAGCCAUACCGCGUGGGUGAAGAAGGCCUUCGGGUUGUAAAGCCCUUUUGUUGGGAAAGAAAAGCAGCAGGUUAAUACCCCGCUGUUCUGACGGUACCCAAAGAAUAAGCACCGGCUAACUUCGUG
rnacentral:rRNA from 1 species